rnacentral:rRNA from 1 species
AUUCCAGCUCCAAUAGCGUAUAUUAAAGUUGUUGCGGUUAAAAAGCUCGUAGUUGGAUUUCUGUCAAAGGUAAGGCGGUCCAUCUUAUGGAUGUGCAUCUGCCUAUGCCUUGGCAUCCUCAUGAAGAACGUUUUCGCGCUUCACUGCGUGUUUACGGUAUUCAUGACUUUUACUUUGAGGAAAUUAGAGUGUUCACGGCAGGCAAUCGCUUUGGAUACAUUAGCAUGGAAUAAUACUAUAGGACCUCGGUUCUAUUUUGUUGGUUUCUAGAGCUGAGGUAAUGAUUAAUAGGGAUAAUUGGGGGUCUUUGUAUUGCAACGUCAGAGGCGAAAUUCUUGGAUUGUUGCACGACAAACUACUGCGAAAGCAUUGACCAAGGAUGUUUUCAUUG